rnacentral:rRNA from 1 species
UAUGUGAUCGUCUCUCGCAUAUCAAUAAGCGGAGGAAAAGAAACUAACAAGGAUUCCCCUAGUAACGGCGAGUGUAGCGGGAAGAGCUCAAAUUUGAAAUCUUAAAGGGUUUCCCUUUACGAAUUGUAGUUUAAAGAAGUGUUUUCUGUUGAGGUUUUGGUAAAAGUUCUUUGGAAUAGGACAUCAUAGAGGGUGAGAAUCCCGUAUUUGACCUUUACUUUCAACUUUGUGAUACACUUUCAAAGAGUCGGAUUGUUUGGGAAUGCAGUCCAAAAUGGGUGGUAAAUUUCAUCUAAAGCUAAAUAUUGGCGAGAGACCGAUAGCGAACAAGUACCGUGAGGGAAGGAUGAAAAGAACUUUGAAAAGAGAGUUAAACAGUACGUGAAAUUGUCAAAAGGGAAGCGUUUGACACCAGUGUUGUUUUUCUGAAAAUCAAUUAAAGAACUGUUUAUGCUAAGCUGUUUAGACUUUAUCAGCUAUCUGUUUAGUUUUGAGCUUUUCUUUAAUGCACUUUUCAGUUAACAAGUCAACAUCAAUUUCUUUUGCUGUAAAAAAGCUUGAGGAAGGUGGCUUGAGAUUCGUCUUAAGUGUUUAUAGCCUCUUGCCUAUGCAGUCGGAGAGAUUGAGGUCUGCAGCGUAGAUCCUUCGGGGCUAAAUGCAUUUGUGCUAAGUUAUAGCAUUUUAUAGACAACUUGUUGACUAUGAUUUGUCUUGUAGCUUACUCGCUUAUGUUAUUUUACCUACGCUUAGGAUGUUGAGCGCAUGUCUCUCUCU